UGCAGCAAAAAAGGAAACAAUUUGCAAAGGUGGAAGUAGAAGUUAUCUGAGCGGGUCCGAGUGCCGCUCAUUGGUUCGGUAAAGAGCAGUUCCUGUAUAACCUUCAGGUCAGUGUCACGUCCUGUUUUCCAGUAUCAGCAUCUCAGAAUCACCAUAGGACAGUGUAACCAGCCAACUUUCAACACACGUCACACCUCCGUGUCCAGAAAUUAUUUCAUUGUUGCCGACGCUGGCGAAAUGUAAUCUUGUUUAGCAGAAGUUGGACAUUUUAUUUGCAAGUUGAAACAUUGAAAAGAGAAGAUUAUUUUAUUUUCACGUUGCCAACACAAGCAUCGAAAAGAAGUGGGCCCACACUAUAAAGUUGUUUGAUUCUUCGUUGUGAAGAUGUUUGCAGUGUUCGCAGCGCUCCAUUUUCUUACACUCUGUGGCUCCGAAAUCUCAGCCCAACCCAGUACAACCAUUGAUGCCGUCGUUGGACAAGAUGUUCAUUUCCCUGUGGAGAUUCAGUGUGAAGAUCAACUUGUAGUAACAUUCCUGUUACUAUCCUCGGUUAAUGCAACCCUUGCCAGGUGGGGAAAGAACAUGUCUGACAGACUGCACCCGGUGUACAAGGACAGACUGUAUUGGAGCGCGAAUGGUUCCCCGGUGCUGUCCAACGUGCAGGUUAAUGACAGUAACCGAUACGCGACCCAAAUCGACUGCUACGAAUCCUCAAUGGGCACAACUAGACAGAUCUACGACUUGCGCGUAUUCGGCAGGUAACUGAUAGGGUGGGAGAGGUGUGGUUUACUGGUAAACCAGGGUUCGUGCCCACUGACAUCCUCAACUAACUGCACCUGCCCUCCCUCGGUCUCAACACGAACCGUUGACUGUUUAUUCCCCUCCAUAGAUUAUGCCUGACUUGCUGAGCGCAUUCAGCAUUUACUUUUCCUAAUUGCCUCUUACCUCCUUUAAUUCCUUCACCCCAACAAUACAGAAUUCCCAAAUCAGUGUCUUCCCAGCUUGCUCUAAUCCCCUCCAUCACCCUCCAUAACAUUCUUUGUCUCCAUCUGAGCACACUCUCUAUGAAUUUUCUAUCUCCAACUUUAAAUCACUACCCCACUCUCCAGUGCUCUCCUCCCUCAAGACCUAACCCCUCAACUUACCUUUAGCUCUCCAUCACCAGCUCACUCCCCUGGUCAUGUGGCAGUCACAGCCUCCAGUGCUCCAGAGCGCUGGCCAUCCUCAACUCCAGCUAAUUUGAACCCAACUCCUACUCUAUUUUUCACAUCCUGGACUUCAUUCUUUAUUUUUCUCUGAAGAAACUCAAGUCCCUUUCUCUGCAUGAUCCAGCAUUUAUCUCAUUUAUCAAUCUGCUAAGAGUUACAAAUAUUAGAAUGUUGAAUCUGUCCAUUCUGACAUGAUAGUAAAAAUGUCGUUGUCUAUGGCAUCCAGUGCUAAUUAGAUCAAUCAGCCAUUCCACACAAAGACCAUUCAUAAAGAAAAAAAAGGAAUGUAAAAACUUAGGAAAUUCAGGAAAGUAAACAGUUUGCCCUCUGAAGCUCACUGUUGCUCCUUUACCUUGUCCAUGUCCUUUUCUAUUCAAAAAUACAUCUGUGCACUGAAUGAAUGAGACUCCAUAUUUAUAAAAUUAAUUCGGUCAGGACUUCAGCCCAACAUUGAACACUCAUCUCCACUGACAUGACUAAGCUUUGUAAUAAUCAUCAUUUUUUGGGAACAAGAGUACAGGGAAACACAGUUGUAAUUUCUGUUAAUCACAAAUUCUUUGUUAGUUGCAUCUCUGGAGCUCCCCACAGCUCAGCCAAAGAAGGAUCACCACAGCAGUGAAAUGGAUAUGUUACGGAGGGAACAUAACAUUUAUCAGUUAGAAACUUGGAUGGAGCAAUAGCAGAUGGAGUUUAAUUCUGAUGUGUGCAGUGAUGAAUUUUGAAAGAACUGAAAGGAUAGGAUAUAUGCAGUAAAUUCUAGAACCUCAGGGUGUUUUGAUGAACUAAGGGACUUUGGGGUAGAAGUGCGCAGAUCCUUGAAAGUGGCAGUACAGGUGAAAAGAGUGGUGAAGAAGCCAACACGAGGAAAUCUGCAGAUGCUGGAAAUUCAAACAACACACACAAAAUGCUGGAGGAACACAGCAGGCCAGGCAGCAUCUAUAAGGGCCGAGACCCUUCAUCAGGAAUGAAACGUCGACAGUGCUUCUCCUUAUAAAUGCUGCGUGGCCUGCUGUGUUCCACCAGCAUUUUGUGGGUGAAGAAGCCAUAUGGGUUGCUUGGCAAAGAAUAUUGUUCUACUGUCUCAGUAGUUAUGGAAAAUGUCGCUAGGCACAGCUCAAACAUCUAUAAAUUUGCCAAUUACACCACUGUUGUUGGCAGAAUCUCAGACGCUGAUGAGGAACCGUACAGGCAUUGUUCCCUCUAAACGGCCUGGGUGCACGGCCGCACAGUAACUGAAAUGCUUCCGCACCCAUAGCCCUUGUUGUGUAACAGCUGGAAUCUACUUAUACAUACUGUUAGUAUAAUUUUGAAUUUAUUCUGAUUUAAUUUUGAAAUCUAUGGCGAUAUAAUUGUGAAAUACUCGGUGAUUAAUGCGUUAAGAAAUAUAACACCGUCUAGUCAAGAGUUUAAUAUUGCAUUGUGCCUGUCAGUUGUUUAGAUUGCCUGACAUUGUUUACUUGUGUUGAGUUGUGAUUUGUGUGAAAAAUUCUAUACUGUGACUUUUUAGUAAGUAAUCUUUCAAAAAAUCAUAAUCUAUUCAGAAUUUUUAAAUUAAAAAUUGUUAGAACAAGUUAAAAAAAUCAUUCUAAAAUCGUUUGCAUGUGUGUGGUUAUUUCAUUGUAAUUUAAUUUUUUCCAACUUUUUUCAAUUUUUUCAAAAAA